UCAAGUGAGACCCACUUGUCUUCGGUAUUUAUUUCCUCAGGUCCUUGUUGGCUGGAUAGCACUCACCCACAUUGAAGUAGCCAACUGGACCGACACAAGUGUCUACUCUGUACUUCAAUACUGAGGAAAGAGGUAAUGAGAAUUACAGUGUUAGUGUUAAAAACAAAGAAGGUUGUCACUGCAAGCGUUUCUCAUGAGGCCCAGCCUGAUGACACAGUCGGUAGCGUGAUGAGCCAUGGAAGCCAUGUGGCCAACUGUGGGCUCGGACCCCUAGCCCAGAGGACCUGAAACAUGCCAAGUCACAUGCAUACUCAUGGUCCUGAUGAGCUGGAGGGCUGGGGACGCAGA